GUUACUAUUAUCCAGAACCUUAUUUCCAAGUUAUGAUUUGUGGUUUCUGUUCUCUAUAUUCUUUUUAAUAAAUUUACAUAUUAUUACACCUUGACCGUCUGAAUUGGAUUAAAUUUUGCAUCAGUUAAUGGAGGCACUGCUGGGAUACUGAUCGAUCCGUUGAAGUAUAUUUGAUGCAUCGCAAGGAAAGAUAAAGAGAGGUGAGUUGCUCAUCUAAUUCUCUUUAUGGGCUUCUGUUGUGCAAACCUGCCGAGCUAUAUCUGCGGACCCAUUUCGUUCAUUUUUCUUGACUGCAGCAAGAGAACGAAUUUGGGGCGGUACGGUGGUUUAACCGUGUGUGAGGAAUGAGUGUGCGCUCUGUGUUUGAGAACGGCGAUUUGCAGCAUUAAAUGUGUUGUUCACUGAAGGGGUUUACCGACAGUGUGGAUAAUUCUGCGUAGCAAGUACACUUUGCGGGGUUUACCGGAGGUGUAUUGCGGGCGCUUUCAGGGUUUACUGAAGUGCAACAGUUUUUUGAGACACGCGCUGUCAGGGAUUACUGCAGCGUGCUGGUCAGAUCUGUAUGUCGAUUCUCUGUUUUGAUAUAGGCUCUGGGAUGGACUCGGCACUCCUAACGAAGCUCUCACUGCUCAAGUACCGAUGUUAGGCAUCGGAAAUAAAGAAAAGAUUAAACAGAAAAUGGCUAAAGAUGAAUUUAAAGAAAUAUGGGGUCCGUAGGCAGUGUGAAUGGGGGUGAUGAAGGAAGAUAAUAAGAUAAUGAUCCUAAGAAACAAAAUAAAUAUGCACAAGUUUUGUGUUGUUUGAGGACUGUGCAAGCAAAAGUUCUUUUAACAUAUCGCAAUGGAAGAAUAGUUUAUGUGGAUAAACUGGCACAAGCCGCUAGAGAUGCUACACAAGAUAUGUGGGAUUUAUUAGACGUUGUAACUAAGAAGACAAGAGCAGAUACAGGGAGAGUCCCUAAAAUCGAUGAUAUUUAUAGCUGAAUAUGCUUCAAAACUGAAAGCAGCGAUUGCCAAGGCAGGGAGACAUGUGACGAAUGUUUCUGAAAACGGUGGUAUACAGGUUGCAGCUAUUUCUCCUGGGCACCUGGAGGAAACUGAGGAUGAGUGGGGCGAGUAUGUGAAACGGUGUCCAAAAUUACCCCGCUAUAGUGAAAUAGAUCAGGAAUUGACGGCGGCUGGUCAAGUGGGGGUUUAUCAAUCCAUGGGUGUGCGAGAUUUGACUAGUAUUGUAAAUACACUGCCACUCAUGAAAUCUAACAGUACCAAUUCUGAAUUUUGGGAUCGUUUGUGGGUAAUGGCAAGAGCCAACCGCCUAGCAGUAAAAGAUAAAAGAUCCGUAUUCAAUUUGGGAGCAAGUCUGCCCGUCUACAUACACGGGACAGAUCAUCUCACCCCUCAUUUACAGCCACCAGCGAAUGCAGAUGAUUACACAACUCAGUACAGAGUGCUGCGUACUGAAGUACAGCGUGCAGUUGGAAAUGGAAUUCAAACUUUCACUAAUGUGACAAUGAUUAGGCAGGGUCCUAAUGAACCAUUUGUUGAUUACACUGAGCGAUUCACAAAGGCACUGAAAGAAUUUGUGGCCGCACGAUGGGGGCCUGACUUAGAAUCUCCAAUCAUUCUCCAUACUGCGCAGUUAAAUAUGAAUGCUAAAUUUACACAGUUGUUUCAUUCUUCUCUGUCAACAAUUAUUGACUGAUCUUCUUUUGUUGCAUGGGGGACACGGGCUCAAGACAUCGUGGAACAACAAAAGAAGGGACUGGUUGCUGCAGUUGGUCAGACCUCUGCUCCAGCAUUUCGUUGUUAUCAUUGCCAGCGCGAUGGUCACUACGCAAACAGGUGCCCUGAUCGAAAUUUAGAGCUUUCAGAAAGCCUAGUUCCUCUUUUCAACAACAGCAGACACCAAAACCACUUCCUCGAGAUCGUGCUAAAAAUAACCCUGGUGCAGAGAAGCAGGGUGCUGACCUGGAAGCAGGUUGAAAAACUGACAAGAGCUUUUGAGAAUACAGACUGACAGAUAGUGGCCUUCAUUUUAUAUGAGCACGAAGACCCUCAUCCAUUUUUACAUUCUAACUUAUGAAGCCAGGAUAGCUACAUUCUUGUGGGCCCCCGGGUCUGCAUCUCAGUAACUGUUAUUAAUUUGCCUUUAACAAACAAACAAAUGUAUCUUCAAGGUAUAUCUGGUCGCAGUCUUUUCACACAGUCUCUAUUGAUUCCUAUAAUAAUAUAUCCAUUUGAACAGCCUUUUUGUGUGCAAUUCUGGGUUGGACAAAGCCAAGUUGGCAUGGCAAUGGGAAUGGAUAUAUUGAGUAAAUUGGAAGCAGAUGUUUUGCUGACUAGGGGUCAAUUAAUUAGUCAGUAUUUACCAAUUCCCAUACCAGUGUUUAAUAAAACUGGAACUCCUAAAUUAAGCCUUGGAGCUAUCACAGCUAAUGAAAAGGAGUCUACUGAUUCCUCAGUGAUACAAUAUUUCGCUGAGAAAUUUCCAAAUUUGUGGUCAACUUCUAAACAUGAUGUUGGUCUUUGCAGGAUUGAACUUUGAAUGUUUCAGGUCCUAUACAUCCUCCAGUAUUUCAGUAUCCUCUUCGGAGAGAAGCAAAGAGAGCUGCACGGGAAAUUGUGAACCAGCUUCAGGAAUCAGGGAUUUUGGUAAGGUGUACUUCCUCAAUGAACUUACCUAUGCAGCCUGUGUGAAAAAAAUAAAUAAAUAAAAAGCCAGAUGGUAGCUAUAGGUUAACUAUAGACUACACCACACUGAAUGCUGUGACUCCUAAAAUAACUCCUAUUGUUGCUAAUCCGUCAACCAUUCUUAAUGAUAUUUCUCCAAACCAUCGCUAUUUUAGCGCAGUAGACAUAACCAAUGGUUUUUGGUCUUGUCCUAUCAGAGAAGAAGAUCAAUACAGAUUUGCCUUUCAAUAUUGUGACGACAUUCUUCUCACAUCUCAAGAUAAAGCACAACACUUGAGUGGACUCACUCAGUUGUUGAAAAUACUCCAAGAGGCGGGUUUCCUCUUGAACAAACGAAGGGUCCAAUUGUUUCAAUUGGAAGUUAAAUUUUUAGGUCAAAGUAUAGGUCGUGAGGGAAAGAAACCUCUUCCAGAC